CAUGACUCAAGAAGCCCCAACAGAGCUGAUCUCCAUUUCCCAUUUUGAGCAUUCAUUGGCCACUGGAAAUCAGAUGGAAUACAUGGAGACCUGCCCCUCCAGCUCGCAGAAGAUAUAAAGGGAACACACUGACUGAGAAGGACUCCCUUUCCGUUUCUUCACACCCAAAGGCUAUAAAAUGGAUCACAGAGUCCUGGGGAUUUGGGGGUUACAAACUGUUUCAGUGUGGCUCCUAGUAGUUUGUAUUUUCCUCUACCUGAGCCAAGGAGCAGAUGCCAUCAAAUGCGUGAGGUGCACUGCUAAAGCUCCAGAAAAGACGUGCCUCCCUCUUAAAAGCACAUGCGAAAUUGAUAGUAAUGAGGCUUUCUGCGUGACCAAGAAAGAAAGUCUAUUAGGAGCCACCUGGGAAGUGUCACUGGAUUGUAGUGUCGACAAGGACAUUUGUGGCCAAAAGAAGAGGAAGGACUUAAUUAAACAAAUAGCAUACAGCUGCUGUUCUGAUCAAGACUUUUGCAGUCGUAAAAUGUAAAAUGAAAGUGAGAGUAGCCUGGGUAUAACUAUUAUCAUGGGACAUGGGCAUGACUUCUUUUUCCUGCCUUUGAAACUGGGAUGACUGACAAACACAUCAUCCUGUCAAAACUGGACCCAGUAGCUGGAACUGGCAUUCCCUCAUGGUUCAGGUCCCUAUUAAGUGCUGGGCUGAGACAAGGAGGAUCAAGCUCCUUUCCCCUAAUUAGCCUUGAAACACUUUGAAUAAAUAUGAGUCAAUCACUGACAUUCUUGAGAGGGUAACAGAGAGCACUGGUCAUUGUGUGACUUCUGUUAGAAACAGCAACCUUCUUCAAGCCUCCGUUAGUUAUUUGUUAUGUAUAUAAUUUGGAUUGCUUAUUGUACUGUAUAUAUGCAUAUUGUUAUGAAGUUUUCCUUAACUCUAUGUUGUGGGAGGGGCUACAGACCAUGUGAUCAUAUCUGGGAUUGUUCAGGACUCAGACUCCAUUUUAUAAAUAGUAUGCUUUCAGAUCACAAUUCUCCAAAAAUUUCAAGCAAGUAGAAACAGUACAGUUUAGAUGCCUGUAGAAACAGAAUGCUUUAGAGUUCGGACUUCAUGAGACUCUAUUAGACUCUCAGAACAGAGAGAUGCUUUGGACUUUGGGUUGCUAAGAUUCUAAGAAAGAUGGCCUGUGUUAUCUGUACAGAGAAACUACUUCAAAUUCUAUCUGUAACUGGACUGAUGUGUAAAGGACCUGUAUGCAGAAUAAAUGAAGUUUAUGAGUAAACCAACUAUGUUACUUUUAAA